GACGAACGCUGGCGGCGUGCUUAACACAUGCAAGUCGAACGGUGAAGCGCCUUCCUUUUUGGUGGGUGUGGAUGAGUGGCGAACGGGUGAGUAACACGUGAGUAACCUGCCCCCUUCUUCUGGAUAACCGCAUGAAAGUGUGGCUAAUACGGGAUAUUCUGGGUCUGUCGCAUGAUGGGUCUGGGAAAGAUAUUGUUUCGGUGGGGGAUGGGCUCGCGGCCUAUCAGCUUGUUGGUGGGGUGAUGGCCUACCAAGGCGGUGACGGGUAGCCGGCCUGAGAAGGUGGACGGUCACACUGGGACUGAGACACGGCCCAGACUCCUACGGGAGGCAGCAGUGGGGAAUAUUGCACAAUGGGCGCAAGCCUGAUGCAGCGACGCCGCGUGAGGGAUGGAGGCCUUCGGGUUGUGAACCUCUUUCGCCAGUGAAGCAGGCCUGCCUAGUUUGUGGGUGGGUUGACGGUAGCUGGAUAAGAAGCGCCGGCUAACUACGUG
rnacentral:rRNA from 1 species